rnacentral:rRNA from 1 species
CCCAGACUCCUACGGGAGGCAGCAGUGGGGGAUAUUGCACAAUGGGGGGAACCCUGAUGCAGCGACGCCGCGUGGGUGAAGGAGCGUUUCGGCGCGUAAAGCCCUAUCGGCAGGGAAGAAGGAGGACGGUACCUGACUAAGAAGCCCCGGCUAACUACGUGCCAGCAGCCGCGGUAAUACGUAGGGGGCAAGCGUUAUCCGGAUUUACUGGGUGUAAAGGGGGCGCAGACGGCAGCGCAAGCCAGGAGUGAAAGCCCGGGGCCCAACCCCGGGACUGCUCUUGGAACUGCGCGGCUGGAGUGCAGGAGGGGCAGGCGGAAUUCCUGGUGUAGCGGUGAAAUGCGUAGAUAUCAGGAGGGACACCGGUGGCGAAGGCGGCCUGCUGGACUGCGACUGACGUUGAGGCCCGAAAGCGUGGGGAGCAAACAGGAUUAGAUACCCCCGUA